GCGCGAGUGGCGGAACCGGCAGACGCGCAGGAUUUAGGAUCCUGUGGGGAAACCCGUGUGGGUUCGACUCCCACCUCGCGCA
rnacentral:tRNA from 1 species